UACGAACUGUGCAAACGUUAUUCGGAAUCACUGGGCUUACAGGGUGCGUAGGCGGCUUGUUAAGCAGGGUGUGAAAUCCCUCGGCUCAACCGAGGAAUUGCGCCCUGAACUGGCGAGCUGGAGUGGGACAGAGGUGCGCGGAACUUCCAGUGGAGCGGUGAAAUGUGUUGAUAUUGGAAGGAACGCCGGAGGCGAAAGCGGCGCACUGGGUCUCAACUGACGCUGAGGCACGAAAGCCAGGGGAGCAAACGGG
rnacentral:rRNA from 1 species